rnacentral:rRNA from 1 species
UACGUAGGGGGCAAGCGUUGUCCGGAAUCAUUGGGCGUAAAGCGUCCGCAGGUGGCAGUUCAAGUCUGCUGUCAAAGACCGGGGCUUAACUUCGGAAAGGCAGUGGAAACUGAACAGCUAGAGUAUGGUAGGGGCAGAGGGAAUUCCUGGUGUAGCGGUGAAAUGCGUAGAUAUCUGGAGGAACACCGGUGGCGAAGGCGGCGUUCUGGACUGUUUCUGACACUGAAAAACGAAAGCCAGGGGAGCAAACGGG